GGCUGGGUCCUGCGCAACGAGAUCUGACCAACCCCGCCAGAUCCGGAAGGAAGCAACGGUACGUCAGCCGUCUCGUGUGCCGCAGGGACACCUGGCCGGA
rnacentral:SRP_RNA from 1 species